rnacentral:rRNA from 1 species
UACGUAGGGUGCAAGCGUUAAUCGGAAUUACUGGGCGUAAAGCGUGCGCAGGCGGUUUUGUAGGUCUGUCGUGAAAGCCCCGGGCUCAACCUGGGAAUUGCGAUGGAGACUGCAGGGCUUGAAUCUGGCAGAGGGGGGUAGAAUUCCACGUGUAGCAGUGAAAUGCGUAGAGAUCUGGAGGAACACCGAUGGCGAAGGCAGCCCCCCUGGGCUAACACUGACGCUCAUGCACGAAAGCGUGGGGAGCAAACAGG